CACUUAUGUCACUGACACACUUAUUUCACUGACACACUUAUGUCACUGACACACUUAUUUCACUGACACACUUAUGUCACUGACACACUCAGGCAGCCCUUUACAUGUUCUUUCUACCGAGGACCAUGAUCGAGUCCUGCAAGAAAACUCAUCGUCCCUCGGUCCAGGUCCCCUCCGCUAGUUAACUUAGGUGGCUCUCACCGCGGCAUUUCUUCAAGUGCAACCUUGGGUCAGUCUUCUCAUCAACAAUUUCUUCUUUCUCUUCUUUCUCUUCGUGUGCAGCUCAUGAGGGAGAUAUUGUCGGACAUUUCUCAGUACUGGAUCACUUUAGUGUUUGCCGUGCUGUGUGGUGGAACUGCUUCCAUACUGCUGUGUGGUGGGACUGCUUCCAUACUGUCGGCUGUUAACCCCCACCCCUCCGCUUUGUUCUGUAGCUUUCCCAUCCGUAUCUCCUCUGUUGGGUCCCAGACCUAAAAUUCCAGUGCUGACUGAUCUCUCCCCCAAGUGUUAAGUGUCUAUUGGAACUUAAGUGUCUGCUCCAAAGUGUGUUCCCAUUCCUUAGUCCCCACUUUGAAUGUCUCUGGGCUUCUUCAGUCUGGGCUUCUCUCUUCAUUACAUUCUGCCCUCCAAAUUGUCACAUGCCAUUCUCUGAGGAGAUGCUCAUCCUCCCAGCCUGAAAUCUUAUCGUCCUGUUGGCCUCCUUUCUCAUGUCCCAGAUCUAGGCAGGCAUCAGUUUCUUUCCGUUCCCAUUGCCAACACCUUACUGCAUAGACCAUAUCACUCUCGCUUCAAGUACCACAUUAGUUUCCGAAUCAUCAUUGACUUCCUCUUUUAAAAUAGCUAAUCUGCUCUUCCAGGUUAAUUGCAAAGCCAUGCUAAGCUUUGUUGACUGUACUGAAGUCAGAAAGCCAGGGCAGGAAGUGACCUAUCAGGAGAUCAGGAAGGCCAAGGCGGGAGAUGACCUAUAGGGAGAUCAGGAAGGCCAGGGAGGAAAGGUGACCUAUAGGGAGAUCAGGAAGGCCAGGGAGGAAAGGUGACCUAUAGGGAGAUCAGGGAGGGAGAUGGUCUAUUGGGAGAACAGGGAUGCUGAUUCUAAUACUACUUGGUUCAUCUAACAGAUACCCAGUGAACGUGUAGGCAGGGAAACAGGUUCUGGCGGACUUGCCUUUUGCCAUCUGCCUCCUCAGUCACCAUCCCUUUACGUCCUUGAUUUCUUCUGAGACCUCCAGUCUAAAGCCCAGCCCCAUCCGCUUCUGUCUUCAUCCCCUCCUUCCUGGUGGAUCUUUCUAUGGGCUCUGCUUGAGUUCUGUGCUCCCCAGACUCCCUUUUCUCUUCUUGCUAGCUAAGGGUCUGGAGAGGAAUAGGGUGGCUUGGAUGAAGUGUGUCCCAUAGGCUCAUGACUCAACACACUCAGUCCUAGUUGAUAGUGUAGUUUGGGGACGUUUGGCAACUUUUAGUUGGUAGAGCUUCCCUGGAGAAAAUGGUCCAUCGGGGCGGGGUGGGGCAAGGCGGCAUGUGGCAGGGCAGGGUGCUUCGAGGUUUUAUAGCUGGCCCACUUCCACCAUGUUCUCUGCUUCUUGAUUUGCCCAGAUGUGAGCAAGCAGCCUGCAUCCCUACCCGGGCAGAGAGCCACUAGGCUGCCGUAUUUCCCCACCACGAUGGACUGCCUCUCAAACUGUGAGCCCAAGCAAAUGCUUGCUUCCCGUGCGCUUGCCACCGUGAGAAAGGAAUCUUCCAUUCAUGGAGUCCUUGCUGUGUGCUACCCAUAUGUGCUGGAGAGACUUUUGUCAGCGUGACACAAACUGGGUCAUCUGGGAAGAGAGACCCUCAGCUGAGAAAAUGCCUCCACCACACUGGCCUGUAGGAUUUUACUUUGCAGACGAGCCUGGCCUGGAACUCACUCUGUAGACCAGCCUGACCCGGAUGAGACCCCUCUUCCUCUGACUCACAAGUGCCAGGAUUAAAGAGACGCACCUCCAUAUCUGGCCUUUACUUUUUGUCUUGUUCCAAAGAAUGUUUCUUUGUAUGAGUGCAUCACAGUUUAUUCAUGAAAAGCGCUAAGAUUUUAAUAAAAUUCUACUACAUAAAAUCAAUAUUUAAAUUGU